UCCUGUUUUCUUCUUGACAUUUUGUUUAGCCUAUGCACCUGAUGUGAGUUUUUUCCUUGGACUUGUAGUAAGACAAACACCGUUUCUUCUAUUUUAUUUGCAGUUUGAAAAUGUUUUGACCAACACACUCAUCCAUUGUUUUUCUCAUGUCCUUUCAUAAUACAAAGGUUAUGUGGCACAUGUUAGCAUGUGGCAUCCCUUUGCCAUACGGUGAUCGACAGAGUGGCGAGGGGGGAAAACACAACAGUGACUCAACAGAGGCAAAAGUGGCAUGCGCCAUCCAAAAAGCCACACAGUGCAGAGUUCCUUGAAGACAUCCAUAUUCAGAAAGUUAAAGGAAACUGUGUCAUUGAGGAGAAAGUGUGUCAUACCCAGAGGUUCCAGUUUGACCCUCGAGCUCUACAUCACAGAACCAAAAAAUCCAUCUAUGUCAUGGACCUUCAGGGGCUCCGAGAAUCUACAAAUGGAAGUGCUGGGAUUCUCAUGUUCCUGCCAGCUGCCCCUGAUCCAGCACAUGCAUUACCUGACAUGAGGGACUGUGGUGUAGUACAAUGGGAGGAGGCCCUUGAAGAUCCACUACAGCAAGUGAAUGUUGCACUGCCCCCCACACUCCCAUCCCUAGCAGCUACACACUGCUCUUCCAAAGAUCAGUUCUUUGAGGCAGCUGUACAGCAUUUGGACCAAGAUGAUGUUUUAGCUGUGUGUCAGCACACAAUAGACCAGAGUAAUGUGUAGUGCAAGUGUUGUGGCACUCGUCCCCUUGAGGUGAAGAACCCCUUCAAGCAUCGAGCGCUCAGUAUCCCGAAGUUUGCUGAACAACCAGAUUCUUGCCUUCAUAUCACACCAACAGGUGAAAUAAAGCUGAAGGCAACACAUCCCUACUACUUCCAAGUUCAACUACAGAUGCUGGUCACCAAUGCAGAUGUGGGGUACUUCUUUCUUCAAACUGCUUCCCCAUACAACAGAUACCACACAGAGGAAAUCAGCUUCGACCCCACGCUAGUGGAGGAGAUAAUUGCAAAGUCAACAAUUUUCUUCCAGUCUGAGAUUCAACCAGAGUUACUGGAAGGGAUGUUGAAGAGCUCAAUGGAGAAGGUGAGGAAAGGGGGACAGCCGGUUUAUCUGGUCCAGAGGCUCUCCAAAGUGCCACAAGCGAUGAGCCGCCACCAUCCAGUGCAGGAAACGUGGUUACACCCACCUCAUCAGCUGUGGAGUGUCCUUGUGUUGUGUGCACAAAGGAAUGUGUGGGUGACCCACACACAAUGGAAGAAAUUAGUAUUUAUUGUUACUCUUGUAAGGAGGGGUCACAUUGGACAUGUGUAGGGUUAAGUGGUCAGGAGGCCUUCCUCCAAAAAAAGGCGACCAAUUGGUUUUGUGCAAAAUGUGAACUGUUUGAACAUCAAUUCAAGUAUGAUAUUGGUUAAGUAUUCUGUGGCACCCCUGGACUGGUGUCAUAGCACCCACUUUGAGAAACCCUGGUUAAGUGCACUGAAAUAUAGAAGUGGACAUUCCUCCAGCCUAUGUGUACUGUGUACUGUUUAAUGCACUAAUAUACAGCACUUGAAGAAAAAGUACACAUGAUUUGUAAAAAAAAAAAAAGAAAACAAAAAAGGAACACACAAAAUACCUGUUUUGUUUGCAUUUAUUUUGCACUACAAAUGCACUAUUUUUUUUGUUAACCAAAAAUGCACAAUGCUCUACGGCACUUUUGUGAACCCCAUUUUCCUGCAUUGUUUGUUUACAAUACAUUCACUA